rnacentral:lncRNA from 1 species
UGGUCGUGAAUAUUUUUUAUAUAUAUAUCAUACAGUGGUGUUUAAGACAAGAAGGGGGAACAAUCUAUGUGCAUAUUACGUGUGCAAAUUCAUGAUGGCACAAGUCAAUCAAACACCCACAGAGAUGCUCAAAGUACGUUACAUGUCUCUUUCCAUUAUCUCCAGAAUUAUAUUGAAUAAUAUAGAUAACUAAUACCUUUUUUAUUUAUUUUAAAUUAAAGACGGAAUGGUUGAGGGAAAAGGUCAUAAAAAAGUCCGAAUCAAAGCUAUCCAAGAGACGAUAGCAGGAUUUCUCCGC